ACAAUUGCCAUGCUCCGAGCUUUUUUCACUAAGUUCCCGGCUAAAGGGGAUAAGUGAUUCAAGCCAGUGACAAGUUGUCACCAGGGUCGAUAAAGAAAUGCAUCGGCCUCCCGUACUUGGAAAGGUGUUCCGUGGCGAAACAA
rnacentral:ncRNA from 2 species